rnacentral:tRNA from 1 species
GCGCCUAUUGCGAAGCUGGUAACGCACUUGAUUGUGAAUCAAGUACUCGUGGGUUCGAGUCCCACUAGGCGCCCCA